rnacentral:rRNA from 1 species
UGCCUCAUCUAAGUGAGUGAUCGCCCACAUUGGACUGAGAACGUCAGAUUUCUACGGAAGCAGCAGUAGGAUCUCGCAUGACGAAAGUCGACGAGCACGCGCUGAGUGAUGAGUUUCGAUCGUAAAGCUCUGUUGGUAAGGAGACAGUGCCGUCAAUAGGGCGGCACUCGACGGGUACUAACAGAAAGCAACGCUGACUACGUGCCAGCAGCGCGUAAUACGUAGGUGGCAGCGUGUCCGGGAAUUAUUGGGCGUAAAGGGCUCGCAGGCGGGUUUCUUAAGUCUGAUGUGAAAGCCCCCGGCUCAACCCGGGGAGGGUCAUUGGAAACUGGGGAACUUGAGUGCAGAAGAGGAGAGUGGAAUUUCCACGUGUAGCGGUGAAAUGCGUAGAGAUGUGGAGGAACACCAGUGGCGAAGGCGACUCUCUGGUCUGUAACUGACGCUGAGGAGCGAAAGCGUGGGGAGCGAACAGGAUUAGAUACCCUGGUAGUCCACGCCGUAAACGAUGAGUGCUAAGUGUUAGGGGGUUUCCGCCCCUUAGUGCUGCAGCUAACGCAUUAAGCACUCCGCCUGGGGAGUACGGUCGCAAGACUGAAACUCAAAGGAAUUGACGGGGGCCCGCACAAGCGGUGGAGCAUGUGGUUUAAUUCGAAGCAACGCGAAGAACCUUACCAGGUCUUGACAUCCUCUGACAAUCCUAGAGAUAGGACGUCCCCUUCGGGGGCAGAGUGACAGGUGGUGCAUGGUUGUCGUCAGCUCGUGUCGUGAGAUGUUGGGUUAAGUCCCGCAACGAGCGCAACCCUUGAUCUUAGUUGCCAGCAUUCAGUUGGGCACUCUAAGGUGACUGCCGGUGACAAACCGGAGGAAGGUGGGGAUGACGUCAAAUCAUCAUGCCCCUUAUGACCUGGGCUACACACGUGCUACAAUGGACAGAACAAAGGGCAGCGAAACCGCGAGGUUAAGCCAAUCCCACAAAUCUGUUCUCAGUUCGGAUCGCAGUCUGCAACUCGACUGCGUGAAGCUGGAAUCGCUAGUAAUCGCGGAUCAGCAUGCCGCGGUGAAUACGUUCCCGGGCCUUGUACACACCGCCCGUCACACCACGAGAGUUUGUAACACCCGAAGUCGGUGAGGUAACCUUUAUGGAGCCAGCCGCCGAAGGUGACAGAGG